rnacentral:rRNA from 1 species
UACAGAGGUCUCAAGCGUUGUUCGGAUUCAUUGGGCGUAAAGGGUGUGUAGGUGGCGCCGUAAGUCGGGUGUGAAAUUUCGGAGCUUAACUCCGAAACUGCAUUCGAUACUGCGGUGCUUGAGGACUGGAGAGGAGACUGGAAUUCAUGGUGUAGCAGUGAAAUGCGUAGAGAUCAUGAGGAAGACCAGUGGCGAAGGCGGGUCUCUGGACCGGUACUGACGCUGAUGCGCGAAAGCGUGGGGAGCAAACGGG